AUUGAACGCUGGCGGCAGGCCUAACACAUGCAAGUCGAACGAGUGGCGGACGGGUGAGUAAUGUCUGGGAAACUGCCCGAAGGAGGGGGAUAACUACUGGAAACGGUAGCUAAUACCGCAUACCAUCGGAUGUGCACAGUGGGGAUUAGCUUGUAGGUGAGGUAACGGCUCACCUAGGCGACGAUCCCUAGCUGGUCUGAGAGGAUGACCAGCCACACUGUAACUGAGACACGGUCCAGACGCGCACGGGAGGCAGCAGUGGAGACUAUUGCACAAGGGGCGCAAGCGUGAUGCAGCCAUGCCGCGUGUGUGAAGAAGGCCCUCGUGUUGUAAAGUACUUUCAGCGGGGGGGCGUUACCUGAAUAAGAAGCACCGGCUAACUCCGUGCCAGCAGCCGCGGUAAUUC
rnacentral:rRNA from 1 species